AGUGAACGCUGGCGGUAGGCCUAACACAUGCAAGUCGAACGGCAGCACAGUAAGAGCUUGCUCUUACGGGUGGCGAGUGGCGGACGGGUGAGGAAUACAUCGGAAUCUACUUUUUCGUGGGGGAUAACGUAGGGAAACUUACGCUAAUACCGCAUACGACCUACGGGUGAAAGCAGGGGAUCUUCGGACCUUGCGCGAUUGAAUGAGCCGAUGUCGGAUUAGCUAGUUGGCGGGGUAAAGGCCCACCAAGGCGACGAUCCGUAGCUGGUCUGAGGGGAUGAUCAGCCACACUGGAACUGAGACACGGUCCAGACUCCUACGGGAGGCAGCAGUGGGGAAUAUUGGACAAUGGGCGCAAGCCUGAUCCAGCCAUACCGCGUGGGUGAAGAAGGCCUUCGGGUUGUAAAGCCCUUUUGUUGGGAAAGAAAAGCAGCAGGUUAAUACCCCGCUGUUCUGACGGUACCCAAAGAAUAAGCACCGGCGAACUUCGU
rnacentral:rRNA from 1 species